GCAGAUUAAGGAGUUCGCUGACGUGAAGAGUUGGAUUGUGUGAUACCACCAUUCAAUGGCGCCAUUCUUUUGUUUUUAGGAGGAAACGACAGGAGAGGCUUCUACUGCAUUUAAUUAACAAAAGAUAUUAAUGUUACAUAUUUACAAGAGGGGUGCCACUUGUUUGUUGUUUUGCCUCAGUUGCACUUAACGCGUUCCUACCUUCUGUCAUGCGAUGCCAAAGGCGUUCCAGGAGGCGUUGCGCAUGAUGGAACGUUGGUGAGUCACAGGUGCACCAGAUCAUCAUGGCCUCCAACAGUACCACAUGGUACGUUGAGGUUCACGCAUCAUUCACAAGUUGAAGAUGAAGUUGUGUGAGUCAUAAAUUGGAGUGGCUCGUGAUUCUGUAUGUUAGCCCUUCCUUGUAGGUGCUUCUCAAGCUGGAGGACAACAUAUUAGUCAAGACAUUAGGGAUCCUCAUUGAUGUUUUAUCUCUCGCCUGCACUUAUUUUGUUUGCUCCAAUUCUAUAUAUUCUCAUGAGUAGAUGAGGUGUAAGCAUGUGCAAUGUAGUUCCUUUUUCUAUAUAUGGUGAUUGAUUGCUUCUUUGGUAACCCAACUAACGGAUGGUAAUCAAUCUUCUAAUACCAAAAUCAAACGUACAAAGCAACAAUCAAUUCACGUAUCACAAUCAGAUUCUUCUUUAGUACCCAGCUUAACUCACGGAUGAUAAUCAAUCUCCAAACAAAGGAAACAAUCACCGUCGUUUACCUCUCGCCAAUGUUACAUAAAAAUAACGCUGAGAAUUUAGAUGUAUUGUUUGUCAUGGAGCUGUGGCUGGCCGAUUUACAUGAGUGAGGAAUAUAAUACACAUAAUCCAUAUUGUUAUGCACUAGCGCGUGUGCGUGUGAAAUAGAUGGAUUAUGGUCCCGUACCCAAUAAGAUGGAUAUGUGUGUGUGUUAGAGAGAGAGAGGGAGAGGGGGAGAGAGAGUGAGGAAGAGGGAGGGAGAGAGUGUGUGUGAGAAUUUGAUGGUAAAAAAGGUCGCCAAUGUCACUUGAUAUGUAUGAGAAUAUUAAAUGUAAUAUUAACAUAAUUGAUAUUGAACUUUUAAAGUUAAUGUGGCCCCGUUGCAACGCACGGGCGUUCUUCUAGUAGAUAGAUAAAGUAGUAGAUAGUUCGUCUCGUACUGGAUAGAUAGGGUACUGCCAAACGUGGCCGCGAGUUAAGCCUGGUAUAUGAGACGAACUCGGGGGGUAUGCUGGUUCCAUUCAAUAGCUAGCCGACGAGGGCCGCCGCUGAGACGCCUCAGUACCGACGAUUGAGCAUUAAUCACGUUAGCGUGGGAGACAAGGAUAUGAGUAAACCGCGUGUGGCCGUUUGCUACUGCCUACUGCUGCCAAGAUCGCCGUUUCUAAUUUGGGGGUUGGAUUAGUACAAGGAGUCUUACGCCACGGUGCUCUUCAAUUCAUAGAGGUGACAAACGUGGUGUCAUCAAAAAUGGAAAAAAAUAGAUAGGUGACAAAAGGUAAAGUCAGUCCACAUGCAAAAAAAGUGAGACAUGCAUUUUUUUGGAGAAAGUGAGAAAUGCAUGUGAGAAUGUAUGUCUACCUUUUAUUUUGGGCCUGGAGCCCUGGACCAUCUAGAGGGAAUCUAGGCCCAUAAUUUUUCGUGCACUAGUGGGCCUCUAAGGCCCACAGCUACACCAAUAUAGUUAAAAAAAAUUGCGGCAUAUUACUGAUCUCAUACCUUUUUUUGCGAAACAUCUCAUACUGACUCUUGUGUGUUCUACAAAAAAUGUCAUACUGACUCUUGCGUGUUCUACAAGAAUUUCAUAUUGUCCCGUCAAGGAGUGUAAAAUCAAUAAAAAAAUUGGAGGAUUAGAAAAUCAUAGGGGUUAGUAAGGGGGGUCCAGAUAGAAUUAAUGGCUAGAUGAUACCAAGAUGCAUUUUAGCCCGCCCUAGCACUUCCACCAACCACCGCACAAACAUGCAUCAUCUCGUGUCUCAUGUUCCACUAACUCUACUAUUUCACAAACACACCUUUACAAGACUAGAACCUGAAGACUGGGCCACUUUGCUUCCCAAAUCGACAACAAUUUCAUCAUGCGGGGUCAGAUCCUGCAUCCUCCCACCCCACCCCUCCCCGACCAAACCCUAGCCCCCAAAAUCCUUGUCGUGCCGAGCACAUGGAUGAAAUCAAUGAAUCAUAAUAACAAAAUUUAAAGUGCGCCUGACCACCAAGGGUGGGGGUCCAAAUAGAAAUCAUGGCUAGAGGAUACCAAGAUGCAUGUCCGCUCGCCCAAGCACUUCCCCGAACCACCGCACAAACAUGCAUCAUCUUGUGUCUCAUGUUCCCCUAACUCUACUAAUUCGCAUACACACCUUUACGAAACUAGAACAUGAAGACUGAGCCACUCUGCUUCCCAAUCGACAACAAUUUCAUCAUGCGGGGUCAGAUCCCGCAUCCUCCCACCCCACCCCACCCUCCCUGACCAAACCCUAGCCCUCAAGAUCCUUGUCGAGGCGAGCAUACAGAUGAAAUUGAUGAAUCAUAAUAACAAAAAUUAAAGUGCGCCUCACCACCUGACAGAAAAUGAACUUGUAUUCUCCCUUAAAACCACUUAUAUCCUAGAUCGGCUUUGCAAAUUUGGCAAAAUCCUGUCAUAAAAACAACGCACAUCAAACAUGUCAAAGAUUAGGACGACGAGGAAAAGAGUGGGUGGAUCCAUGAUUCGUACCUCGUAUGAGUGCGAGAAGACGGACGGAUUUCGGCGAAGGCAAUGCGGCGGCGAGCCAAACCAGCUAAAAACUCGAGGCGCGAGGAGAUCUGGUGUGGGAAAGAGGAGAGAGAGUGCGUGUGGUGUAAAUGCAGCCCACGGCAAGCCUGG
rnacentral:lncRNA from 1 species